GAUGAACGCUGACAGAAUGCUUAACGCAUGCAAGUCUUUGGCGAAGCUGUGCUUGCACAGCCUAGCCAAGGCGGACGGGUGAGUAACGCGUAAGGAACUUGCCCUGCAGUCAGGGAUAACAGACGGAAACGACUGAUAAGACCUGGUAAAGUCAGGCGGACUCAUGUCCAGCCUGAUGAAAAGAGAUGCUGCAGGAGAGCCUUGCGUCCUAUUAGCUUGUUGGUGGGGUAACGGCCCGCCAAGGCGAUGAUAGGUAGCCGGCCUGAGAGGGUGGACGGCCACAAGGGGACUGAGAUACGGCCCUUACUCCUACGGGAGGCAGCAGUGGGGAAUAUUGGACAAUGGGGGCAACCCUGAUCCAGCAAUUCUGUGUGCACGAUGAAGGUUUUCGGAUUGUAAAGUGCUUUCAGCAGGGAAGAAAAAAAUGACGGUACCUGCAGAAGAAGCGACGGCUAAAUACGUG
rnacentral:rRNA from 1 species